rnacentral:sRNA from 1 species
UGCAUCUGAGGCCAGUGAGGAUGAGAACCUCCGGGGGCAGGAGGUUCGACUCGAGCGAAGCGAGAGAACGUUGCGUCAGCAACGGCCCGCAGGG